CCUACGGGAGGCAGCAGUGAGGAAUAUUGGUCAAUGGCCGGAAGGCUGAACCAGCCAAGCCGCGUGAAGGACGAAGGUGCCAAGCAUUGUAAACUUCUUUUGUCAAGGGACAAAAUCAGGCUCGAGAGCCUGACCGAGGGUACUUGAAGAAAAAGCAUCGGCUAACUCCGUGCCAGCAGCCGCGGUAAUACGGAGGAUGCGAGCGUUGUCCGGAAUGACUGGGCGUAAAGGGUGUGUAGGCGGUGUAGCAAGUUAGAAGUGAAAUACCUAGAGCUUAACUCAGGUGCUGCUUCUAAAACUGCUAUACUUGAGUGCAGUAGAGGAAAGUGGAAUUCCUGGUGUAGCGGUGGAAUGCGUAGAUAUUAGGAGGAACAUCAGUGGCGAAGGCGACUUUCUGGACUGUAACUGACGCUGAGGCACGAAAGUGUGGGGAGCAAACAGGAUUAGAUACCCCAGUAGUC
rnacentral:rRNA from 1 species